rnacentral:rRNA from 1 species
UACGUAGGGUGCGAGCGUUGUCCGGAAUUAUUGGGCGUAAAGGGCUCGUAGGCGGUUUGUCGCGUCGGGAGUGAAAACUCAGGGCUUAACCCUGAGCCUGCUUCCGAUACGGGCAGACUAGAGGUAUGCAGGGGAGAACGGAAUUCCUGGUGUAGCGGUGAAAUGCGCAGAUAUCAGGAGGAACACCGGUGGCGAAGGCGGUUCUCUGGCAAUGUUCUGACGCUGAGGAGCGAAAGUGUGGGGAGCGAACAGG